rnacentral:rRNA from 1 species
AAGGUAGCGAAAUUCCUUGUCGGGUAAGUUCCGACCUGCACGAAUGGUGUAACGAUCUGGGCACUGUCUCAACCACGAGCUCGGUGAAAUUGUAGUAUCGGUGAAGAUGCCGGUUACCCGCAAUGGGACGAAAAGACCCCGUGAACCUUUACUAUAGCUUGGCACUGAACAUUGACCCUACAUGUGUAGGAUAGGUGGGAGACUUUGAAGCAUUGUCGCUAGAUGAUGUGGAGUCUACCUUGAAAUACCACCCUUGUAGGUUUGAUGUUCUAACAUAGGUCCCUUAUCGGGAUUGUGGACAGUGUCUGGUGGGUAGUUUGACUGGGGCGGUCUCCUCCCAAAGCGUAACGGAGGAGCACGAAGGUUGGCUAAUCCUGGUCGGACAUCAGGAGGUUAGUGCAAUGGCAUAAGCCAGCUUAACUGCGAGACAGACACGUCGAGCAGGUACGAAAGUAGGUCAUAGUGAUCCGGUGGUUCUGUAUGGAAGGGCCAUCGCUCAACGGAUAAAAGGUACUCCGGGGAUAACAGGCUGAUACCGCCCAAGAGUUCAUAUCGACGGCGGUGUUUGGCACCUCGAUGUCGGCUCAUCACAUCCU